rnacentral:rRNA from 1 species
GCAACCUGCCUCACAGAGGGGGAUAGGCUCUCGAAAGGGAGAUUAAUACCGCAUAAUGAGCAUAGUUCACAUGAGCGAUGCUUUAAAGGGUACAUUUUUGAAAGGGGAUGUAUCCGCUGUGAGAUGGGCCCGCGGCGCAUUAGCUAGUUGGUGAGGUAACGGCUCACCAAGGCGACGAUGCGUAGCCGACCUGAGAGGGUGAACGGCCACAUUGGAACUGAGAGACGGUCCAGACUCCUACGGGAGGCAGCAGUGGGGAAUAUUGCACAAUGGGCAAAAGCCUGAUGCAGCAACGCCGCGUGAGUGAAGAAGGUUUUCGGAUUGUAAAGCUCUGUCUUCGGGGACGAUAAUGACGGUACCCGGGGAGGAAGCCACGGCUAACUACGUGCCAGCAGCCGCGGUAAUACGUAGGUGGCGAGCGUUGUCCGGAUUUACUGGGUGUAAAGGAUGCGUAGGCGGAUGUUCAAGUCAGAUGUGAAAUACCCGGGCUCAACCCGGGAAUUGCAUUUGAAACUGGGUAUCUGGAGUGCAGGAGAGGUGAGCGGAAUUCCUAGCGUAGCUGUGAAAUGCGUAGAGAUUAGGAAGAACACCGGUGGCGAAGGCGGCUCACUGGACUGUAACUGACGCUGAGGCAUGAAAGCGUGGGUAGCAAACAGGAUUAGAUACCCUGGUAGUCCACGCUGUAAACGAUGAAUAUUAGGUGUGGGAGGUAUCGACUCCUUCCGUGCCGUCGUAAACACAUUAAGUAUUCCGCCUGGGGAGUACGGUCGCAAGAUUAAAACUCAA